ACAAUGUUACAAAUGCUGGACUUUAAUGUACUUUCGCGAUCUUUUAUUAGAAGAGGAAAACUCGCGAUUUGCAAAUUUGAUGCCGUAAUAAAUUCGCAUUCUUAAAAAAAGUUUGACCAAAUAUUGCAGUGGAAACUGUGAACAUGUACGGAAUGGCACUGGUAUCAUGUUAAGACUCUUCAAGAUGCUCUUUCCAACAUUCAGAUUUUUGGUUGUGACUGAGAAACAAUCCACGAAGGUGUCUUCAAGUUGCAUAAUGUAAUUUAAAUAGCACGAUGAAGGAGCAGUCAGCCCACCAAAGUUGAGUUCUUUAUAUGCCUUGAAAUAGCAAAGCAAAUUACCAUCAUUGUUUAUGUUAUUUGAAGUCAAAACGUUCUUACAUUGGAGACAGCUGUGGAUUUUGAAAGCUUUGCUUAGCAAAUAUCCUGAAGCAUAGACAGCAGCAUUUUUGAGCAAUAAAUUGUUGCUAAUAUUUUGUUCUCGGAAGUCAUUUUCACCAAUCAACAGUGAGUUACUUGGAGCUUUUGCAUGGAACAGUUUCCUUUGGAAGAGGUCAAAAGUGAACUGAAAAAAACCUUUCGAAAAGCUCUGAUAAAUUGUAUUGGUAUGGGAUUGUCAUAAUUACCUCCUUGCUGGCGUAUUGUUCCAAAAAAAUUCUCUAGAGCAUCUGUGUUUAAUCUUCUGUGUGGAACUAUUGACGCAAUCGAAAAGCGAAUCAAAUUUGAAAAGCAACUCAGCUGUACCCAAGGCUGAUGGUGGUAGUGCUCCAAUUGAUGAAUAUGUGCAAAUCGAUGCAGCAAUGGUGUGGCUGAAUAUUUGUGUAGCAUAUUUAACUUGAAAAUUAAUCUGAAAAUUAAUGCAGCGACAGCAAUGUAACGAAAAUAACAAUAUAUAUAUAUUAAUAGAAGCAAGAGGACAAUUUUAUUUCCUUACAACGUAAUCAACACAUUAAAUUAUCUAAAACAUGACAAAUAUAAGGAACAUAUAGUUAAGAGCAUCUGGAAGUUAGCUACAACCAUACAAUAUAAGAAUUUUCCCAACACAAUAUGGCAUUGGCAUUAAAUACAAUUGCACAAGUUUGCAAUUUCUCAAUGAACAUUUAUCGAGUGUUCGGGAUAUGACUAAAUUUGUCUGAAUUCUAAAGCACCAAAUCCAAUGUCAUACGAAAUAUCUUUUUUAGUGUAGCCCGUCCGUUGAUAAAUUUCGCAUUGUUCCUUCUUGUUUCUGAUUUAAAGACGUUCGUUAAGCGCUUCUCCGCUUCCGUUCUUUACAAAUAAAUAAAUACGAAUAACCUUGA